GGGCCGUUGGGCCUCCGCACCGCAGAGCUGAGGCGCCGCCGGGGCCGCGGGACUUGGGCACAGUAGGCUGGGGCGUCUGCGGGCGGCCGGCUCACCUCCGCCGCGCUCCAGCCAUGUUGGGCGACUGAAUGGAAAGGUGGCGGCGGCGGUGAGGCAGCAAGAGGAGGAGGUGAUUCACUGCUCGCGGGUGCCCGCCCCUUCUCCCCCGCUCACCCCCCAGGAUCUGGGGCGGGGACGGAGCGCGCUUGAACGGUGACCGCGCCAGUGGAGAAGCCAACAGGCCGCCGGCGGCCUCGGGGCGGCCGGAUGAAGUCUUGCUGUGUUGCACAGGCUGGUGCAGUGGCUAUUCACAGGUGCAAUCAUAGCACAUUGCAUCCUUGAACACCUAGACUUCAAGCAAUUUUCUGGAGAAACUGGGAUUACAGACCAGGGUCUCACUCUGUCGCCCAGGCUGGAGUGCAGUGGCAUGAUCACAGUCGACUGCAGCUACCUCCUAGGCUCAAGUAAUCCUCCUGCUUCAACCUCCCAUGUAGCUGGGAUCACAGGUAUGCACCACCAUGCCCAUCUCAUUUUCUUAGUUUUUGUAGAGACGAAGUCUCGCUUUGUUGCUUAGGCUGGUGUUCAACUCCUGAGCUCAAGCAAUCUUCUGAACUAGGCCUCCCAAAGUGCUAGGAAUAUAGUCAUGAGCCACCACACCUGGCCAAUGUAAUGUUUUAAUAUUUGAAAGUUAUUAAUCAGAGUGAGAGAAAUAUUUAAAUAAAGAAAAAUUCUCAUCUACCAAGUUUAAUAUAUACAUUAUAUGCAUUAUUCUAUACUGUUAUAUGUGAGAGAGAGAGAGAGUGUGUGUGUGUGUGUGUGUGUGUGUGUAAAAUAAAUGGUUAAGGUAAAUUUUGGAUUAAGGCAAAAUUUAAUCCUAUGGUUGAGAUUGCUUAUGAAAAUAUCAUACCUAUGAGGGUUUACAUGUCAUUAUCUUGGCAGUUUGAAUUUGAGCUCUUCAAUAAUUCAAAAUAUUUUUGCUUCUGGUAUAAGCUCAGUUGUUAAAUAUGUAUUUUUAAAAGGGAAGAGAUGGUGCUGUUCUCCUAUUAUUAUUUAUCUUAAUCUUCAGUUUGCUUGUCUUACAAAAUCCUUCAAACACUAUACUAUGUUUAUCUUCAGUCUUGGAAUAAAAAAGAGAAUUUAAUCUACAAAUAACAUCAUUCAUGCUUAGUGGUUUGGAGUUUCUGAAAUACCCAUUCUAAUAUAUAAUCAAUUUCAUUUCACUGUUUGGGUAUAUGUUUAAUGACAAACCUAUAGAAUUUCUGUGGUUAUUUAUUCCUUGGGAUGAAAUUCAAUUUUGAUUAUACCAUAAACAUUUUUUGAUUAUCCAAAAAUACUGAGAUGAGAAAAAAGAACAAGUUGAAAUAGUGCUCUGUACAGCUCAUACUUGCACUCGUUUAAUGCUACCCAACUGUGAAAACACUACCAAAGAGCAUGGUUUUCUAGCUAACAAACCAGGUACAGAAAUGUUCCCCAGUUUAAUACAAAUACAUGCAUUCAGAAAAGGAAAUUGCCGUAUCAGAUGUUGAUAUGUCCCAGUCAGAUUGUUUCCUGCUUUGGAAAUCACUGUGCUCAGUCAAUCAGGCCUGAGAUGGGUCUGUUUAGCCUUUGCAGAGGGAAUUGGCCAGCUCAGAGUGAAAAUGCUUUCCAAAUAUUUAGGUGGGAUUAAAACUCAGUUUGUAAGACAUUCUAGUUACCUAAAUAUAAAACAUUUUGCUGUUUUCCUCAUUGCAACCUUGAAUUCCUGGGCUCAAGUGAUCCUCCCGCCUCAGCCUCCCAAGUAGCUAGGACUACCAGGUCAGUGCCACCAUGCCUGGCUAAUUUUUACAUUUUUCUUUUGUAGAGAUGUGGUCUCAUUAUGUUGCCCAGGCUGGUCUUGAACUCCUGGCUUCAAGUGAUCAUUCUGCCUUGUCCUCUCAAAGCAUUGGGAUUACGGGCAUGCGCCACCAUGCCUGGCCUAUUUAGUGUUUUUAUGAAUUGAUUUAAAAUUUUCUCCUUACAUAAUAUACAGUGUAACCUAUUGUUGUAGACGCACCUUAUAUAUAUAAUAUGGAAUUUAACAUUUUUAGGUAAUCAAACAUGUUUUAUGCCUUUGCUGCUAAGUUUGUAAAAUUUCUUUGUUCCAGAGUUUGAUUAGUGUUCUCAGUAGGAUGUCACCCAAAUUCUCUCACAGUUUUACUCAUUCACUUUUGCCCAAGUACCAAGUAGUAGAUCAUUCAACUCCACAAUGUUAGAAAAUGGCAAUUGUUUUGUGGAUUAAUUCUGGAAAGGAGCCAUUUCUAAUGAGUAGAAUUCAGUGAGAAGGAUAUAAUUUAUUUGCUGCAGUGUUUUAAGUCUCAGGACCACCUACUGAGAAGUAGGUGAAGGCAGGAAUACUCUUUUCAAUGGUUUAAAAAAGAAAAAUACAUUUGUGCGCCUGUUUCACAGCUGUAGUGACGGUUUAACAGGAACAAAGCCUGCAGAACCUAUGCUCAGUAAUUACUUGCUGUACAUAAGGUUUAAAUGCUCUGCUGGUUCAAGAAUUCCUCUGCAAAGCAUCAGGCCUAACAAUAUCUUCAGUGAGCUUUUUAGUGAGAGACUCGAUCUUGCCUGCCAUCUUUUAAAAUUUGUGUAAAGUAAUAAAAAGUAGCUGAUUUCUAAAGGCAGAAAAACUUAUAAAAUCUCACAGAAUGAUAAUUAUCAAAAAGAUAAUUUUUUAAAGUAGUGUGUUCUUAUACUGGAAUAUUACUCAGCAUUGCAAACAAACAAAGCACAAGUACCUGUAAACAU
rnacentral:lncRNA from 1 species